AAGAAAAGCCCGGACCACGUUAAUUUCUAAUUACCUGUACCCGAAACCGACACAGGUAGGGAGGUUGAGAAUACUAAGGGGCGCGAGAUAACUCUCUCUAAGGAACUCGGCAAAAUAACCCCGUAACUUCGGAAGAAGGGGUGCCACCGAGAGGUGGUCGCAGUGAAGAGGCCCAGGCGACUGUUUACCAAAAACACAGGUCUCCGCCAAGUCGUAAGACGCAGUAUGGGGGCUGACGCCUGCCCAGUGCCGGAAGGUUAAGGAAGUUGGUUAGGGUAACCGAAGCUAGCGACUGAAGCCCCGGUGAACGGCGGCCGUAACUAUAACGGUCCUAAGGUAGCGAAAUUCCUUGUCGGGUAAGUUCCGACCCGCACGAAAGGCGUAACGAUCUGGGCACUGUCUCGGAGAGAGGCUCGGCGAAAUAGGAUUGUCUGUGAAGAUACGGACUACCUGCACUUGGACAGAAAGACCCUAUGAAGCUUUACUGUAGCCUGGAAUUGGAUUCGGGCUUUUCUUGCGCAGAAUAGGUGGGAGGCUUUGAAGUCUGGCUCGUGGGUCAGAUGGAGCCGACAGUGAGAUACCACUCUAGAAAAGCUAGAAUUCUAACUUUAACCCGUUAACCGGGGAAAGAACAGUUUCAGGUGGGCAGUUUGACUGGGGCGGUCGCCUCCUAAAAGAUAACGGAGGCGCGCAAAGGUUCCCUCAGGCUGGUUGGAAAUCAGCCGUAGAGUGCAAAGGCAUAAGGGAGCUUGACUGCGAGACCUACAAGUCAAGCAGAGACGAAAGUCGGCCUUAGUGAUCCGACGGUACCGCGUGGAAGGGCCGUCGCUCAACGGAUAAAAGUUACUCUAGGAUAACAGGCUGAUCUCCCCCAAGAGUUCACAUCGACGGGGAGGUUUGGCACCUCGAUGUCGGCUCAUCGCAACCUGGGGCGGAAGUACGUCCCAAGGGUUGGGCUGUUCGCCCAUUAAAGCGGUACGUGAGCUGGGUUCAGAACGUCGUGAGACAGUUCGGUCCAUAUCCGGUGUAGGCGUAAGAGCAUUGAGAGGAGCCUUCCUUAGUACGAGAGGACCGGGAAGGACACACCGCUGGUGUACCUGUUAUCGUGCCAACGGUAAACGCAGGGUAGCCAAGUGUGGAGCGGAUAACCGCUGAAAGCAUCUAAGUGGGAAGCCCACCUCAAGAUGAGUGCUCUCACAGGGUUAACCUGGUAAGAUCACGGGCAGACUACCCGUUUAUAGGUGCUAGGUGGACAUCCAGUAAUGAAUGAAGCCAAGGCAUACUAACAGAUCGAGGGCUUGACC
rnacentral:rRNA from 1 species